rnacentral:misc_RNA from 1 species
GGCAGCAUCAUUGUUGACACGUACUUUCACAUUUGCAACACAAGCCUUGUGUCUCAAGCGGCGAAUGAAUUCUUCAAAGUUGGCACGCCAAAGUACUUCCUUUUCGCCUGUAGCCGGAUCUUUUGUGUUUGACUCCAAAUCCUCUUGCUUACGCUUCAUGCCACAUUUCACAUCAGUAGUCCUUUUGUCAGCUUUUUCCACAGAAUCAUUCCAGAUGUUUUCAACUAAAAAUCUCAU